GUGAAAAUCAAUUCCAUUGAAGGAGAUCUCCUAGCACUGGUUGCUAGAGCAUCAGCAAUGACAGACAAUAUCCCAGAGGUCAUGAAGGUUUGUGGUGUUUUUCCUUGUGAUGGGGGUAGAUAAUACAUGCAUUGGUUUGAUGAUGCUAAGUCCAGCUGCGGGUUGCUCAGGAGGAGCUGUAAGAAGAAAUGUGCACUACUCCUAUACUGAAAUACUCAAAAACUCUUCUGAGGUCUUCCCUGAACCUUGCUUCUACUUUCCACAAUUUGAG
rnacentral:lncRNA from 1 species